rnacentral:tRNA from 1 species
GAGAGAGACCCGCUAGUGACAAAGGUUGCUAACCCUCGUCUCGUUGGUUGAAUUCCGACGCUCACUCG